CACGUAGGGGCCAAGCGUUGUCCGGAUUUAUUGGGCGUAAAGAGCUCGUAGGCGGUUGGGUAAGUCGGGUGUGAAAACUCUGGGCUCAACUCAGAGACGCCACCCGAUACUGCUCUGACUUGAGUCCGGUAGGGGAGUGGGGAAUUCCUGGUGUAGCGGUGAAAUGCGCAGAUAUCAGGAGGAACACCGGUGGCGAAGGCGCCACUCUGGGCCGGAACUGACGCUGAGGAGCGAAAGCGUGGGGAGCAAAACAGG
rnacentral:rRNA from 1 species